AAUCAUAUCAUCUAACGGUAAGAUGUUAAUUUCAUGCAUUGAACAAUCUGGUUCGACUCCAGAUAUGGUUA
rnacentral:tRNA from 1 species